CACUCCUACGGGAGGCAGCAGUGGGGAAUCUUGCGCAAUGGGCGAAAGCCUGACGCAGCCAUGCCGCGUGAAUGAUGAAGGUCUUAGGAUUGUAAAAUUCUUUCACCGGGGACGAUAAUGACGGUACCCGGAGAAGAAGCCCCGGCUAACUUCGUGCCAGCAGCCGCGGUAAUACGAAGGGGGCUAGCGUUGCUCGGAAUUACUGGGCGUAAAGGGAGCGUAGGCGGACAUUUAAGUCAGGGGUGAAAUCCCGGGGCUCAACCUCGGAAUUGCCUUUGAUACUGGGUGUCUUGAGUAUGAGAGAGGUGUGUGGAACUCCGAGUGUAGAGGUGAAAUUCGUAGAUAUUCGGAAGAACACCAGUGGCGAAGGCGACACACUGGCUCAUUACUGACGCUGAGGCUCGAAAGCGUGGGGAGCAAACAGGAUUAGAUACCCGAGUAGUCCC
rnacentral:rRNA from 1 species